rnacentral:rRNA from 1 species
AUUGAACGCUGGCGGCAGGCCUAACACAUGCAAGUCGAGCGAGCGGCGGACGGGUGUGAAUUGUCUGGGAAAAUGCCCCAGGGAGGGGGGUAUCUCCUGGAAACGGUAGCUAAUACAGCAUAUCAUCACAUGUGCCCCGAUGGGAUUAGCUAGUAGGUGGGGUAACGGCUCACGUAGGCGACGAUCCCUAGCUGGUCUGAGAGGAUGACCAGCCACACUGGAACUGAGACACGGUCCAGACUCCUACGGGAGGCAGCAGUGGGGAAUAUUGCACAAUGGGCGCAAGCCUGAUGCAGCCAUGCCGCGUGUGUGAAGAAGGCCUUCGGGUUGUAAAGCACUUUCAGCGGGGAGGCGUUACCCGCAGAAGAAGCACCGGCUAACUCCGUGCCAGCAGCCGCGGUAAUUC